UACGUAGGGGGCAAGCGUUGUCCGGAAUCAUUGGGCUAAAGCGCGCGUAGGCGGCCAGAUAAGUCCGGUGUGAAAGUCACAGGCUCAACCUGUGAAUGCCGCUGGAAACUGUCUGGCUUGAGUCCGGAAGGGGCGAGUGGAAUUCCUGGUGUAGCGGUGGAAUGCGCAGAUAUCAGGAGGAACACCAAUAGCGAAGGCAGCUCGCUGGGACGGUACUGACGCUAAGGCGCGAAAAGCGUGGGGGAGCGAACAGG
rnacentral:rRNA from 1 species